GACGAACCGAGCGAACGUUAUUCGGAAUCACUGGGCUUAAAGGGCGCGCAGGCGGCUCAUUUUGUCAGGCGUGAAAGCCCCGGGCUUAACCUGGGAACUGCGUUUGAUACGGAUGGGCUAGAGUUCGGGAGAGGAGCGUGGAAUUCCCAGUGUAGAGGUGAAAUUCGUAGAUAUUGGGAAGAACACCGGUGGCGAAGGCGGCGCUCUGGACCGAGACUGACGCUGAGGCGCGAAAGCGUGGGGAGCAAACAGG
rnacentral:rRNA from 1 species